rnacentral:rRNA from 1 species
GCCAGACUCCUACGGGAGGCAGCAGUGAGGAAUAUUGGUCAAUGGGCGGGAGCCUGAACCAGCCAAGUCGCGUGAGGGAAGACGGCCCUACGGGUUGUAAACCUCUUUUGUCGGGGAGCAAAGCGAACCACGUGUGGUUCAUUGAGAGUACCCGAAGAAAAAGCAUCGGCUAACUCCGUGCCAGCAGCCGCGGUAAUACGGAGGAUGCGAGCGUUAUCCGGAUUUAUUGGGUUUAAAGGGUGCGUAGGCGGGCUUUUAAGUCAGCGGUAAAAAUUCGGGGCUCAACCCCGUCCGGCCGUUGAAACUGGGGGCCUUGAGUGGGCGAGAAGAAGGCGGAAUGCGUGGUGUAGCGGUGAAAUGCAUAGAUAUCACGCAGAACCCCGAUUGCGAAGGCAGCCUUCCGGCGCCCUACUGACGCUGAGGCACGAAAGUGCGGGGAUCGAACAGGAUUAGAUACCCCGGUAA